UUAUGGCCACAUCACGUUGAAACACCGGUUCCCGUGCGAUCAUCAAAGGUAAGUAACAUCAAAUCUGGUUAGUAGUUCGAUGAGUGAACGCUUCGGAAUACCAAGUACUGUAAG